GCGCUCGUAGCUCAGUUGGAUAGAGCACCACCCUCCUAAGGUGGGGGUCGGACGUUCGAAUCGUCUCGAGCGCGCCA
rnacentral:tRNA from 1 species